UGAGGAAUAUUGGUCAAUGGGCGCAAGCCUGAACCAGCCAUCCCGCGUGCAGGAAGACGGCGCUAUGCGUUGUAAACUGCUUUUCCAGGGGGAGAAACUUGCGCACGUGUUGCGCAAUUGACGGUACCCUGGGAAUAAGCAUCGGCUAACUCCGUGCCAGCAGCCGCGGUAAUACGGAGGAUGCGAGCGUUAUCCGGAUUCAUUUGGUUUAAAGGGUGCGUAGGCGGACUAUUAAGUCAGUGGUGAAAUCCUGCAGCUUAACUGCGGAACUGCCAUUGAUACUGAUAGCCUUGAGUUUGGUUAAGGUAGGCGGAAUGUGUAAUGUAGCGGUGAAAUGCUUAGAUAUUACACAGAACACCAAUUGCGUAGGCAGCUUACUGAGCCGACACUGACGCUGAGGCACGAAAGCGUGGGGGUCGAACAG
rnacentral:rRNA from 1 species